rnacentral:rRNA from 1 species
AAUAUUGCUCAAUGGGCGAAAGCCUGAAGCAGCAACGCCGCGUGCGCGAUGAAGGCCUUCGGGUCGUAAAGCGCUUUUGAGAGGGACGAGAUAGGACGGUACCUCUGGAAUAAGUCACGGCUAACUACGUGCCAGCAGCCGCGGUAAAACGUAGGUGGCAAGCGUUAUCCGGAUUCACUGGGCGUAAAGCGCGUGCAGGUGGCUUCGUAAGUUGGACGUUAUAUCUCCCGGCCUAACCGGGAGGAGUCGUUCAAUACUGCGGGGCUAGAGGGCAGAAGAGGGGGGUGGAAUUGCUGGUGUAGUGGUGAAAUGCGUAGAUAUCAGCAGGAACACCCGUGGCGAAAGCGGCCCCCUGGUCUGCUCCUGACACUCAGACGCGAAAGCUAGGGGAGUGAACGGGAUUAGAAACCCCGGUAAUCCUAGCCGUAAACGAUGGAUGCUAGGUGUGGGUGGUAUUGACCCCAUCCGUGCCGAAGCCAACGCGUUAAGCAUCCCGCCUGGGGACUACGACCGCAAGGUUA